ACAGAGGGUGCAAACGUUGCUCGGAAUCACUGGGCGUAAAGGGCGUGUAGGCGGGAAGGAAAGUCGGGCGUGAAAUCCCUGGGCUCAACCCAGGAACUGCACUCGAAACUUCUUUUCUUGAGUGCCGGAGAGGAAAGCGGAAUACCUGGUGUAGAGGUGAAAUUCGUAGAUAUCAGGUGGAACACCAGUGGCGAAGGCGGCUUUCUGGACGGUAACUGACGCUGAGACGCGAAAGCGUGGGGAGCAAACAGGAUUAGAUACCCUGGUAGUCCACGCUGUAAACGAUGAGUGCUAGGUGUCGUGGGUAUUGACCCCCGCGGUGCCGUAGCUAACGCAUUAAGCACUCCGCCUGGGAAGUACGGUCGCAAGACUA
rnacentral:rRNA from 1 species